CGGCCUCAACAAUGUCCCAAGAUGGCGGCUCACGCUACAGGUUAGGAGUCGUGCUGUUGGCGUCAGACACUAGAGCGACGUUUCUUCGCACCUGCGACUGUCAGUGAGUGGGCUCUGACCAUUGACCUUUGCGGAGAGUGCAGACGAUUCGAGUUCAGCUCGGCUACGAUCUGCAGCGUUGUAAUGAGAAAGAGGGUCGUUAGCUGUGGCAGAUGACCCGCGUGUCACACUGGGACACCUGCUGUUUUUAUAAAAUGACAGAGACAAUCAGUAGGCGCAGUUUAUCUUGAAGGUAUUGUUUCGAGGCGUAACAGCACUUCUCCCUGGCUUCAUCAACAUUUUACUGCACGUGCACCAGGCAAUUAACUACAGCACUUCACUGGAGACAGAUUAAGUUUCCCCCAAGGUGAUCUCAGGAUGAACUUACUCCUGUGGUGUAUGCUGAUCUUUUUUCUUUGCUCAAGCACUAAAGAGAUGGCCGUGGGUACACACAGACCAUUAAAGUAUUUAUCUAGGUGGCAUUCGUAUCGGAUGGCGAAAGGACAGAACAUUAUCCGAAACUUCAAAAGGCAUUCAGAUGGAACGUUCACCAGCGACCUGACCAACUAUCUGGACAAGAUGAAGGCUAAAGAUUUUGUAGAGUGGUUGACCAGCACCAAACGAGAAGGAUGUCGUGAAGAAGUGCUCCACAUUGCAGCUGAAGUAUAAGACACCACAGUUAAGAUGUAUGUUUGUCACUGCUUCAUGCCAUCUGGCAGCGUAAAAGACUCCUCUGCAACAACACAGACGAUAUCCAUCAAUUUAUGUACUGAGAGGUAUUCUUGGAUAAAAGCUAUAAGUGUGGUGUUUUUUGUUAUUGUUGUUGUUGUUUUUGUAAGAAAAAAACAACAACACAGUAUGUGAUAUUUUGAAAUGUUCAAAUUAUUUUCUUUGAAACUGAACGUCAGCGACAGGUCUGUACAAGAAAAUACUUUUUUUUAAUACUGUUUUAUUUAUUUUUAUUUAUUUUCUUUGCCAUAUGAAUAAACUCAGAUGCACAAUGAAAAAGUAUAUUUUGAAAUAAUCGAUUUUGGGGUCUGAAUGCAUUGUGAAUUCACCUACGAAUGCCUUGGAUAGUGUGUUGCACAUGAAUGUAUUUUCAAAUAACUUAAGAUUGUAGAAUAAAAUCGUAUAAAGCCGCCA